AUUGAACGCUGGCGGCAUGCCUUACACAUGCAAGUCGAACGGCAGCACGGGGCAACCUGGUGGCGAGUGGCGAACGGGUGAGUAAUGCAUCGGAACGUACCUUUCAGUGGGGGAUAACGUAGCGAAAGUUACGCUAAUACCGCAUAUUCUGUGAGCUGGAAAGCAGGGGACCGCAAGACCUUGCGCUGAUUGAGCGGCCGAUGUCAGAUUAGCUAGUUGGUGAGGUAAAGGCUCACCAAGGCGACGAUCUGUAGCAGGUCUGAGAGGAUGAUCCGCCACACUGGAACUGAGACACGGUCCAGACUCCUACGGGAGGCAGCAGUGGGGAAUUUUGGACAAUGGGGGCAACCCUGAUCCAGCCAUGCCGCGUGAGUGAAGAAGGCCUUCGGGUUGUAAAGCUCUUUCGGCCGGGAAGAAAUCGCACGGGCUAAUACCCUGUGUGGAUGACGGUACCGGAAUAAGAAGCACCGGCUAACUACGUGCCAGCCGCCGCGGUAA
rnacentral:rRNA from 1 species